rnacentral:misc_RNA from 1 species
GUAGGUGAACCUGCGGAAGGAUCAUUACAGAGUUCAUGCCCUUCGGGGUAGAUCUCCCACCCUUGUGUAUCAUCAUCAAAUGUUGCUUUGGCGGGCCGCAAGCCUGGCUUGCCCGGAUUCGCGUCCGGCGUGCCCGCCAGAGAACCCCAAACUCUGAAUGUUAGUGUCGUCUGAGUACUAUUAAAUAGUUAAAACUUUCAACAACGGAUCUCUUGGUUCUG